CAGCAAUGCCGCGUGCAGGAUGAAGGCUUCGGGUUGUAAACUGCUUUUGUCCGGAACGAAAAGGCUCUGGUUAAUACCUGGGGCACAUGACGGUCCGUAAGAAUAAGCACCGGCUAACUACGUGCCAGCAGCCGCGGUAAUACGUAGGGUGCGAGCGUUAAUCGGAAUUACUGGGCGUAAAGCGUGCGCAGGCGGUUAUGUAAGACAGUUGUGAAAUCCCCGGGCUCAACCUGGGAACUGCAUCUGUGACUGCAUAGCUCGAGUACGGCANAGGGGGAUGGAAUUCCGCGUGUAGCAGUGAAAUGCGUANAUAUGCGGAGGAACACCGAUGGCGAAGGCAAUCCCCUGGGCCUGUACUGACGCUCAUGCACGAAAGCGUGGGGAGCAAACAGGAUUANAUACCCUGGUAGUCCACGCCCUAAACNAUGUCAACUGGUUGUUGGGUCUUUACUG
rnacentral:rRNA from 1 species